CUUUCCUGUGAGCAGAGCCAGCUCUGAUCCAGUUUUCUCAUUUAGGAAUUAAGAAAAUGUGAAUGUCCUGAUGGAAGUGUCCUACCAGUUCAUCAUCACAUCCACAAAUAUAUGUCCUCAUCUUCAUCUUUCCUCUAGAGAACUUUAAGGAAUUCUGAUCUCAAAUGGUCAAGGAAGGACAUAUUCUGAGGGAAUCGAAAGGCAGACUAGGAAUCACAGUGCCAAAUUCCAGCUAGAGCUGAGUUGAAUGAAAGUAGAGGGAGGUAUCUACAAAGCCACAGGGACAAAUUAAGACACUGGAGAGAGGCACCAAAGUACAAGACAGUGGUAGAAGCUACUGCGGGGAAACUGUCCUGAGGCCCCAAAAGGUAAUGGUGUAAUCCAGUUUCCAGUGGAGUCUGUGGCUGUGGGUCAUUUGACUCAUAGACUUGGAUCAGACCCAGACCCUACGCAUCUACACUGCAGUCAGUCAGCAGUCAAUUUUGCCCUGAUGCUAUUGGAAAACAGAUUAAACUGUUUAGCUUUCAUAGUUCUGAAUUAG
rnacentral:lncRNA from 1 species